rnacentral:rRNA from 2 species
UUGACCUCGGAUCAGGUAGGAAUACCCGCUGAACUUAAGCAUAUCAAUAAGCGGAGGAAAAGAAACCAACAGGGAUUGCCCUAGUAACGGCGAGUGAAGCGGCAACAGCUCAAAUUUGAAAUCUGGCUCUCGGGCCCGAGUUGUAAUUUGUAGAGGAUACUUUUGAUGCGGUGCCUUCCGAGUUCCCUGGAACGGGACGCCAUAGAGGGUGAGAGCCCCGUCUGGUUGGAUGCCAAAUCUCUGUAAAGUUCCUUCGACGAGUCGAGUAGUUUGGGAAUGCUGCUCUAAAUGGGAGGUAUAUGUCUUCUAAAGCUAAAUACCGGCCAGAGACCGAUAGCGCACAAGUAGAGUGAUCGAAAGAUGAAAAGCACUUUGAAAAGAGAGUUAAAAAGUACGUGAAAUUGUUGAAAGGGAAGCGUUUAUGACCAGACUUGGGCUUGGUUAAUCAUCUGGGGUUCUCCCCAGUGCACUUUUCCAGUCCAGGCCAGCAUCAGUUUUCCCCGGGGGAUAAAGACUUCGGGAAUGUGGCUCUCUUCGGGGAGUGUUAUAGCCCGUUGUGUAAUACCCUGGGGGGGACUGAGGUUCGCGCAUCUGCAAGGAUGCGGC